AUGACAAAACGCGAAGGAAAUUGUCGGAGAUACCACCAUGGCGGAGGUGUUCUACUAGGAGAAAGAGAGAAGGAUAUUUCUGCCGCGUUUUGCAAAGGGAGUUGUGUUAGGGAGAAGUUGAAGAGUUGUGACAAUACAAACCCCACAGAGUCAAAACGGCACCAUUUUUUUCUGAUUGGAACUAUUGUUGAUGUUGGAUUAAAUGUGAGGAUCUCUAGAAUCAAGCUGCAUACUCCAAUUUCAUGGGCCCGUUAUGUUAGUUUUUUUCUGCAACUUGAUAGCAUUUGA